rnacentral:ncRNA from 1 species
AAAUAGGAUUUACUAAAAUCCAUGUUAAAUUUUCCAUGAAAUACUUU